GGCACCCGAUGUGAGACUCGAUACCAGGAUCCUGGAAUCAUGUCCUGAACCGAAGACGACCGUGCACACAUCCUUAAGAAUGUUAUUUGUUUAAUGUAUCGGAACUUUGUGUUGAUGAAAUCACACCGUAUACGUCCUUUGUGACCUGCUUCUUUAGUCAACACUGUUCUAGAGAUUCAUCCUGUUGAGAUUUUUAUUUACUUAUUUGACACAGAAAGAGAGUGAGAGGGAGUACAACCAGCGGGAGCAGC